CUCUCAGGAUGGAAACCCCAAAGCUGACUUGCUACAUUCUUCUUGUGAGCUUUGUGAUGUGAAACUUAUAUUCAGAGCAUAAAUACUGAAAUUGGUGCUUCCAACCAGAUAUACCCAUUCUUUCUUGCUUGUGAACUUCAUGAUUUGUUCUUCGUGUUCAGAGUAUAUUGUGACAGAUACCCCUAAGCUGAUUUACACAUUCUCCCUUGGUUAUGAGCGUCUUCAUCUGCCAUUUGUGUUCUUAGGAUAGAUACAGUGUGAGUAUAGUCAAUAUUAAU